rnacentral:rRNA from 1 species
GACAGAGGGUGCAAACGUUGUUCGGAAUUACUGGGCGUAAAGCGCGUGUAGGCGGCUCGGCAAGUCGGGUGUGAAAGCCCUCGGCUCAACCGAGGAAGUGCGCCCGAAACUGCAGAGCUUGAGUACCGGAGAGGAUGGCGGAAUUCCCCAAGUAGAGGUGAAAUUCGUAGAUAUGGGGAGGAACACCGGUGGCGAAGGCGGCCAUCUGGACGGAUACUGACGCUGAGACGCGAAAGCGUGGGUAGCAAACAGG